CAGUCGAACGAAGCACUUUAUUUGAUUUCCUUCGGGACUGAUUAUUUUGUCACUGAGUGGCGGACGGGUGAGUAACGCGUGGGUAACCUGCCUUGUACAGGGGGAUAACAGUUGGAAACGGCUGCUAAUACCGCAUAAGCGCACAGCAUCGCAUGAUGCAGUGUGAAAAACUCCGGUGGUAUAAGAUGGACCCGCGUUGGAUUAGCUAGUUGGUGAGGUAACGGCCCACCAAGGCGACGAUCCAUAGCCGACCUGAGAGGGUGACCGGCCACAUUGGGACUGAGACACGGCCCAAACUCCUACGGGAGGCAGCAGUGGGGAAUAUUGCACAAUGGGCGAAAGCCUGAUGCAGCGACGCCGCGUGAGCGAAGAAGUAUUUCGGUAUGUAAAGCUCUAUCAGCAGGGAAGAUAAUGACGGUACCUGACUAAGAAGCACCGGCUAAAUACGUGCCAGCAGCCGCGGUAAUACGUAUGGUGCAAGCGUUAUCCGGAUUUACUGGGUGUAAAGGGAGCGCAGGCGGUGCGGCAAGUCUGAUGUGAAAGCCCGGGGCUCAACCCCGGUACUGCAUUGGAAACUGUCGUACUAGAGUGUCGGAGGGGUAAGCGGAAUUCCUAGUGUAGCGGUGAAAUGCGUAGAUAUUAGGAGGAACACCAGUGGCGAAGGCGGCUUACUGGACGAUAACUGACGCUGAGGCUCGAAAGCGUGGGGAGCAAACAGGAUUAGAUACCCUGGUAGUCCACGCCGUAAACGAU
rnacentral:rRNA from 1 species